UACGGAGGGUGCAGGCGUUAUCCGGAUUCACUGGGUUUAAAGGGUGCGUAGGUGGGUUGGUAAGUCAGUGGUGAAAUCUCCAGGCUUAACUUGGAAACUGCCAUUGAUACUAUCAAUCUUGAAUACCGUGGAGGUCAGCGGAAUAUGUCAUGUAGCGGUGAAAUGCUUAGAUAUGACAUAGAACACCAAUUGCGAAGGCAGCUCACUACGCGAAUAUUGACACUGAGGCACGAAAGCGUGGGGAUCAAACAGG
rnacentral:rRNA from 1 species